rnacentral:rRNA from 1 species
GAUGAACGCUGGCGGCGUGCCUAAUACAUGCAAGUCGAGCGAACAGACGCGGAGCUUGCUCCUCUGAUGUUAGCGGCGGACGGGUGAGUAACACGUGGAUAACCUACCUAUAAGACUGGGAUAACUUCGGGAAACCGGAGCUAAUACCGGAUAACAUGUUGAACCGCAUGGUUCAACAGUGAAAGACGGUCUUGCUGUCACUUAUAGAUGGAUCUGCGCCGCAUUAGCUGGUUGGUAAGGUUACGGCUUACCACGGCAACGAUGCGUAGCCGACCGGAUAGGGUGAUCGGCCACACUGGAACUGAGACACGGUCCAGACGCCUACGGGAGGCAGCAGUAGGGAAUCUGCCGCAGUAGGCGAAAGCCUGACGGAGCAACGCCGCGUGAGUGAAGAAGGCCUUCGGAUCGUAAUACUCUGUUAUUAGGGAAGAACAAAUGUGGAAGUAACUAUGCACGGCUUGACGGUACCUAAUCAGAAAGCCACGGCUAACUACGUG